UUGUAAUCAGUGAAACUGAUCCCCCCGUGAAAAAGCAGGGAUCCUAUUACAAGACGAGAAGACCCCAUGAAGCUUCAAACUAAAAAGUACAUCUGCUACUACCUACAACAUCUUACACCCAGCAAAUGCUAACCCUUAGUUUUUGGUUGGGGUGACCACGGAGUAAAAUAUACCCUCCACAAUGAAAGAACUUAUACCCUAAUUUAAGAACUACAUCUCUAAAAAUCAAUAUAUUGACACACAUGACCCAAAUUAUGACCAUUGAACCAAGUUACUCUGGGGAUAACAGCGCAAUCCAUUUUAAGAGUCCAUAUUGACAAGUGGGUUUACGACCUCGAUGUUGGAUCAAGGUAUCCUAGUGGUGCAACCGCCACUAAGG
rnacentral:rRNA from 1 species